rnacentral:rRNA from 1 species
GACGAACGCUGGCGGCGUGCCUAAUACAUGCAAGUAGAACGCACAGUUUAUACCGUAGCUUGCUACACCAUAGACUGUGAGUUGCGAACGGGUGAGUAACGCGUAGGUAACCUGCCUGGUAGCGGGGGAUAACUAUUGGAAACGAUAGCUAAUACCGCAUAAUAUUGAUUAUUGCAUGAUAAUUAAUUGAAAGGUGCAAUUGCACCACUACCAGAUGGACCUGCGUUGUAUUAGCUAGUAGGUGAGGUAACGGCUCACCUAGGCGACGAUACAUAGCCGACCUGGGAGGGUGAUCGGCCACACUGGGACUGAGACACGGCCCAGACGCCUACGGGAGGCAGCAGUAGGGAAUCUUCGGCAAUGGACGAAAGUCUGACCGAGCAACGCCGCGUGAGUGAAGAAGGGUUUCGGAUCGUAAAGCUCGGUUGUAAGAGAAGAACGGGUGUGAGAGUGGAAAGUUCACACUGUGACGGUAGCUUACCAGAAAGGGACGGCUAACUACGUG